rnacentral:rRNA from 1 species
AGUGAACGCUGGCGGUAGGCCUAACACAUGCAAGUCGAACGGCAGCACAGUAAGAGCUUGCUCUUACGGGUGGCGAGUGGCGGACGGGUGAGGAAUACAUCGGAAUCUACUUUUUCGUGGGGGAUAACGUAGGGAAACUUACGCUAAUACCGCAUACGACCUACGGGUGAAAGCAGGGGAUCUUCGGACCUUGCGCGAUUGAAUGAGCCGAUGUCGGAUUAGCUAGUUGGCGGGGUAAAGGCCCACCAAGGCGACGCUCCGUAGCUGGUCUGAGAGGAUGAUCAGCCACACUGGAACUGAGACACGGUCCAGACUCCUACGGGAGGCAGCAGUGGGGAAUAUUGGACAAUGGGCGCAAGCCUGAUCCAGCAAUACCGCGUGGGUGAAGAAGGCCUUCGGGUUGUAAAGCCCUUUUGUUGGGAAAGAAAAGCAGCAGGUUAAUACCCCGCUGUUCUGACGGUACCCAAAGAAUAAGCACCGGCUAACUUCGUG